rnacentral:rRNA from 1 species
CUGGAGCAAUUGUGGUAGUAACAGAGGGUUUGAUUAUGGCUCAGAUUGAACGCUGGCGGGAUGCUUUACAUAUGCAAGUCGAACGUGGCACGGACUUCGGUCUGGUGGCGAGUGGCGAAUUUGGUGAGUAAUACCGUAUCGGAACGCCUAGUAGCGGGGGAUAAUCUGCCGCGAAAGCGUAGCUAAUACUGCAUACGCCCUUCGGGGGAAAGCGGGGACCUCGGGCCCUCGCAAUUAUUAGAGCGGCCGAUAUCGGAUUAGCUAGUUGGUGGGGUAACGGCUCACCAAGGCGACGAUCCGUAGCUGGUUUGAGGACGACCACACACUGGGACUGAGACACGGCCCAGACUCCCACGGAGGGCAGCAGUGGGAAUUUUGGACAAUGGGGGAAAUUCCUGAUCCAGCCAUCCCGCGUACAUAAGGCUCCUCUCGUCAGCACUUCUGCAGGAAAGAAGAAACGGCAGACGGAUAAUAACCGCAACUGACGGUACCUGCAGAAUAAGCACUGGCUAACUACGUGCCGAAGCAGCCGUGAAGGGUUGCCGUAGGUGCAAGCGUUAAUCGGAAUUAUCAUGAAGUAGUAAGUGGUCUGGCAGUGAUGAAAUCCCAGAGCUUAACUUUGGAACUGCAUUUUUAACUACCGAGCUAGAGUGUGUCAGAGGAGGUGAACCCGGCGUGUAGCAUAGAAUGUAGAUGAUGUGAGGAACAAUUACUAUAAGCUACAGUGCGCUUCCUGAUAAUAUCGAUUACAAUGAAAGCAGUGUAUAAAACAGAUUAGAUACCCGUAACCACGCCCUAAACGAUGUCAACUAGCUGUUGGGGCCUUCGGGUCUUGGUAGCGCAGCCAACGCGUGAAGUUGACCGCCCAGGAGUACGGCCUGCGGUGAUUAAAAUCAAAGGAAUUGACGGGGACCCGCACAAGCGGUGGAUGAUGAUUAAUCUGAUGCAACGCGAAAACCUUACCUACCCUUGACAUGUCUGGAAUCCUGAAGAGAUUGGAGUGCUCGCAAGAGAACGGGAACACAGGUGCCAUGGUAUUGUCACACGCUCGUGUCGUGAGAUGUUGGGUUAAGUCCUGCAACGAGCGCAACCCUUGGCCAUAGUUGCUACGAAAGGGCACUCAACAGACUACAGACAAACGGAGAAUGUGGGGAUGACGUCAAGUCCUCAUGGCCCUUGCGGGUAGGCUCCGCAUUGGCGCGCACAAUGGUCGGGGACAGAGGGCUCGCUAACCCGCGAGGGGGAGCUAAAUCCCAGAAACCCGAUCGUAGUCCGAUCGCAGUCUGUAACUGACAGGGUGAAGCUGGAAUCGCUAGUAACGGCGGAUCAGCAUGUCGCGGUGAAUACGUUCCCGGGUCUUGUACACACCGCCCGUCACAUCAUGGGGAGGAGCGUAUCAGAAGUGUCAUUAGGCCUAACCGUAAGGAGGGCGAUGCUAAUAAUGGUAGAUUCAUGGACUGGGUGAAGUCACACCACGGUAG